rnacentral:rRNA from 1 species
GAUUGUAAAUUUAGUGGCGGACGGGUGAGUAACGCGUGGGUAACCUGCCUUGUACUGGGGGACAACAGUUGGAAACGACUGCUAAUACCGCAUAAGCGCACAGCUUCGCAUGAAGCAGUGUGAAAAACUCCGGUGGUACAAGAUGGACCCGCGUCUGAUUAGCUGGUUGGUGAGGUAACGGCCCACCAAGGCGACGAUCAGUAGCCGGCCUGAGAGGGUGAACGGCCACAUUGGAACUGAGACACGGUCCAAACUCCUACGGGAGGCAGCAGUGGGGAAUAUUGCACAAUGGGGGAAACCCUGAUGCAGCAACGCCGCGUGAGUGAAGAAGUAUUUCGGUAUGUAAAGCUCUAUCAGCAGGGAAGAUAAUGACGGUACCUGACUAAGAAGCUCCGGCUAAAUACGUGCCAGCAGCCGCGGUAAUACGUAUGGAGCAAGCGUUAUCCGGAUUUACUGGGUGUAAAGGGUGCGUAGGUGGCAGUGCAAGUCAGAUGUGAAAGGCCGGGGCUCAACCCCGGAGCUGCAUUUGAAACUGCUCGGCUAGAGUACAGGAGAGGCAGGCGGAAUUCCUAGUGUAGCGGUGAAAUGCGUAGAUAUUAGGAGGAACACCAGUGGCGAAGGCGGCCUGCUGGACUGUUACUGA